rnacentral:rRNA from 2 species
GCUAAGCAUAUCAAUAAGCGGAGGAAAAGAAACCAACAGGGAUUGCCCUAGUAACGGCGAGUGAAGCGGCAACAGCUCAAAUUUGAAAUCUGGCUCCUUUGGGGUCCGAGUUGUAAUUUGUAGAGGGUGCUUUGGUGUUGGUUGUGGUCUAAGUUCCUUGGAACAGGACGUCACAGAGGGUGAGAAUCCCGUACGUGGCCGCCAGCCUUCACCGUGUAAAGCCCCUUCGAUGAGUCGAGUUGUUUGGGAAUGCAGCUCUAAAUGGGAGGUAAAUUUCUUCUAAAGCUAAAUAUUUGCCAGAGACCGAUAGCGCACAAGUAGAGUGAUCGAAAGAUGAAAAGCACUUUGGAAAGAGAGUCAAAAAGCACGUGAAAUUGUUGAAAGGGAAGCGCUUGCAGCUAGACGUGCCUUGGGUUGAUCAGCCGGACUUUUGCCCGGUGCACUCUUCCUUUGGCAGGCCAGCAUCAGUUUGGGCGGCUGGAUAAAGGUCUGUUAAACGUGACUUCCUUCGGGGAGAGCUUAUAGGGCAGACGACAUGCAGCCAGCCUGAACUGAGGUCCGCGCAUCUGCUAGGAUGCUGGCGUAAUAGCUGUAAGCGGCCCGUCUUGAAACACGGACCAAGGAGUCUAACAUCUAUGCGAGUGUUUGGGUGUCAAGUCCGAGCGCGUAAUGAAAGUAAACGGAGGUGGGAACCUUUUAGGUGCACCAUCGACCGAUCCUGAUGUCUUCGGAUGGAUUUGAGUAAGAGCAUAGCUGUUGGGACCCGAAAGAUGGUGAACUAUGCCUGAAUAGGGUGAAGCCAGAGGAAACUCUGGUGGAGGCUCGCAGCGGUUCUGACGUGCAAAUCGAUCGUCAAAUUUGGGCAUAGGGG